UAUAUGUUUCUGAACGUUAGACUUUUAUCUACAGAGUAACCUGGGAAUUUUUAUUCAGGCAUUCGAUCUUGACGUUAAUUAGCCACCGUCACUGCACUAGUAGUUUCUUUUACUUCAGAGAUCAAAGAAUUUCAUUUAAUCCACAGUCGGGCCAGGCUGUGGGUAUUUGGAUGGCCAGGGCCAGACCCUGCAGCAUGGUUGUGGUGGGCAUGUGGCAGUGGGUGGCCAACAGGCCAUCUGUGUGUUCAGGAGCUCCAAGUCCAGCAUACAUCGCUCGCGAGCUCAAGGAGCAAGGCCCUUCCCUUCCAGGCAUUCCCUAAGGUGGAUGCGACAUUGUGAUGUCCGGGGCUAGCUUCGAAAUGAUGAUGCAGUUUCCACCUGGCUCUCCGUCAGGAUGCUUGUCCUUGGAUCCCAGCCACCAGGGUGUGCAGAAUCCCAGGCCACAUGGAGGUGCUGGGGCCGCAGCCAGCAUCAGCCACCAGAUAUGGGAGCCAGGGGCUUUCAGAUGAUUCCAGCCCCAGGCUUCAAGCUGCCCUGCUGAUGCUGCGUGCAGCAGACAGCUGUCCGGCUGAGCCUUGCCCAAACU